GGUGAAAAAAAUGUCUUGAGCUGCUAUUGUCUGUUUAAAUUAGGUAAAUGCAAUUAAGACGAGUCAAAUAUACACAGGCUCCAAUGAUGGGUAAAAUUAAGGUCACCAGUUGCAGCCCUAAUCCAGCUGCAUUGCUUAAUCUGGGCUUUAGCCAUUACAAGUGAGCAGAAUGGUAAUGUCUUGCUAGUUUGGGGGUUAAUGUAGACUGACUGGGUAACUAGAAAUAAAUCCUGCAGGCUUGCUCCAACCAGCAAGUGCUUAACACUGACAUUUUAAAAAAGGAAAAUUGGGUUCCAUUCCCCAGGACUGGUCCUUGCUUUUCCCUCUACCUAAGCGCAGAAGCAAAAGAACUCUUUUUCCUGGCCAUUUUUUUUGUUUGUUUCCCUCCAGAGGAGUCUUGCGUUUGCCAUUUGUGUAUUUCUCUUGCUCAUUCCAAAACUGAAAGUUCUGCGUCUUAAUCCUCUUAAAACAAGAGCGCUUGUCUUUCUUUUCAUAUGCAUACAAAUUAUAUUUGUGCUGCCUGAUAUUGUUACUUUGUGAAGGAAUUGGUUCAGGUAGUCAGAAGAUAUGACGAAAACAUUGUGCAUAUGGAAAAAAAAAAAAAAGGUUGACAUUUACAGCCGAGAGAGAGGUACGGAAUUGCAAAGGUCAUCAAUGAGUAAACAGAUAUUAAUGGUUAGCCGGAUAACUGGUACAUAAACAGGUCACAUUAAUAAUUAACACCAGGAAAAACUUAGCACUUUCAACCAAGCUCAGGAAAGUUAGGUGCCGAGGAAAUUCCCCAGAAGUAGAUGAGAAUGCCAUGCUGAUUUCUGGUUGCUAGAGAGCAAAAAGGCCCUGCUCCAUUUUUAUGUUUCUCACGUAUUCACCAAAAAUCAGUUCUGAGAUGGAAAUGAUAAGAAGUAAGAGGGAUCGUGGAAGAAAAACUUCUCAGUGACUAUUAUUUGCUAAGUGAUACUUGGCCUAACACUGCCUAUUUGCUUUCCUUCCAUGACAGUGUGUAAAAUUGCUCAAGAAAUUUAUUUUAUCACUAACCUACCAAGUCUCUCUAAAAGUAUUAGCUCAGUCAUUUUGUUAUUUUGCCCGCAUGUUACAUUAAAACUUGUGAGCUGAGAGGGUUAAAUUUUGCAUGUGCUGAUUGGCAUUCACCACCAUUUUUUGUAGUUGUUUUGCAAAGACUAUUUUUUAGAGCAGUUUAGGUUCACAGUAACAUUGAGGGGAAGAUAUCCAGAAUUCUGUAUAUCUCCUGCUCCUACACAUGAAGAGCCUCUACCAUGAUCAACAUCCCCCACUAGAGCGGUGCAUUUAUUCCAGGCGAUGAGCCUACAUAGACUCAUCAUAACUACGCAAAGUCCAUAGUUUACCUUAGGGUUCAUUCUUCAUGUUGUGCAUUCUCUAGGUUUGGGCAAAUGUACAUUGGCAGAUAUCAAUCAUUAUAGUAUCAUAUAGAUUAUUUUCACUGCCCUAAAAAUUCUAUGCACCCCACCUAUUUCCCUCUACCCGACAUUUCAACCCCUGGUAACCACGGAUCUUUUUAUCGUCCCUAAAGUUUUUCCUUCUCCAGAAUGUCACAGAGUUAGAAUCGUACAAUAUGUAACCUUUUCAGGCUAGCUUCUUUCACUUUAGUAAUAUGGAAGAUAUCUCCUACCUCUCUUCUGAUGGGUUGAUAGCUCAUUACCUUUUUGUGCUGAAUGAUUUUUCAUUGUCUGGAUGUACCACAGUUUAUUUAUCCCUUCACCUGCUGAAGGACAACUAGGUCACUUCCAAAUUUGGGCAAUGAUGACUAAAUGACUAAGCAUUCCCGAGCAGGUUUUUUGUUUGGCUAUAAGUUUCAUCUUUGCUUUUUAUAGGGGAAAAUCAAAGCUGGAUCUGUGGUUAUGAAGGCAAAGGCAUGGGGUGCCAGGCAAAGAAACUUCAUGAGUGAGGUGCUCUCCUACCCCCACCCCCAACCCGACUUCUCACCAUGGGGGACUGGGAGCAAAUGCACCUGAACCUUUCAGCAUGUCAUCCUCUUAAGCCUAGAGCACCACAUUUUUUAAUUUUUUUUAAAGACACCAGAUUUUAUGUAAAAAUCUCUAGAUUCCUGGACUUUUAAAUGUUGACAACUCACCGAAACUCUGUUCAGUCCAAGCAAUAUGUUUUUACUUCAGGCCACCUCAGCUCAGUUGAAUUGCUUAUCCAAAUUAAAAAUAAACAAAAAGCAAAACAAAAAUUGCUGAAAAUUUACCAAGGAGGAAGAGCCUCAGUUUAUCUUUAAAAUUUACUACACAGACUCUCUUCUUCAAAUGCAAUUCUACCUAGGAAUAUUCAGAAAAAGAGAAUUUGAUAAAAUCGGACUAUAUACUUUAACAAAGAAGUAGACUAUGAGUAAGGACCUCACGCUUACUCUCAGAACCAUGUGAAUAAAAGUCAGAUGAGAUACUUUUGUAUACGUGGCCUAAUGGUUUACAGAUGAGUGAGUAGCACUGCUUUCAAACAUAAUGUGAGGAAACCAAUUUUUAAAUAAAUGUGUAGUUGGCGUAUCAAGCCCACAGGAGAUACUGUGACGUACCCAACCUGAAAAUCAAAUUAUUUAAGGUUGGUUAUACUAAUAACAGCCUCAAACCAACUGCUAAGGUGAACUAUAAAACCAGACUAGCCAAAGGCAGGAAAUGGGAUGAGUUUGAGAGGAAGUAGAAAGAAAAUGAGGUACAAGGCUGGUUUACUAGUUAAAGGCGGGGUAGAUGCUGAGAUAAACCACAGAGGGUGUGUGGAUCUUGUUUCUGAGCAUGGAGUGGGAGGGUGACCGGGGGUUCUCAUGGCCUCAGGUCUAGUCCCUCUCCCCUUCUCCAGGACCACAUCUCCACCACCCUCUGCUUUCUUGUCACCAUGGGCUGCUGGCCUGGUUCACAAUGCUUUCUCAUCUCUCCUGGCCCAUCUUAACCUAAAGCCUUCUUCACAUCACCCUUACUUUUGACCCAGGCACUUUCUUAUCUGUCCUAUAAAGUUCAUCAAAGUUCAGGUGCACCCUCUCCCAGAAGGCCUCAUCUAAGUCCUCUCCAAGUGAUCAGGGUACCCCCUCCUCUGUGUCCCCCCCCCCAGCACCUCAGCACUACAGUCAUGAGAGGCAUGGGUGCACAGAGCCUUCUCCCCAUUGGCCCAUGAACACCUUGUUGAAGGCAGAGCCUACUGUUUCCACCUUUGAACCGCCAUCACCUGAGCCCUGUGCUUGGAAAACAGCUCGUUAAUGUUGAAAGAAUGUCUAAAUGCAUGAAAAGAAUGGGCCUCAGAGCACAAAUGCUUAGAAAAGAGACUCUGACAAGUAAAAUACGAGUGAAUGAAACUGUUACCCCCCUUUUUUUCUCUUUUGGUAUAAAUCUUUCAUAUGUUCACUGCAGUGACAUUUGUGAUAGCAAGUUCUAGUUUAAAGAAUCUUCUGGAUCUUAUUAAACACAGUAACAAUUCGGUUCUUCGGCUUCCUCAUCUGUAAAGCAGAGGUGAUAGCACCCGCCCUGUGAGGCUCAGAGUGUGGUUGGAAAGACGUCUGAGACCAUAUAUGAAAAGAGUCACCCCCAAUGGCAGGUGGAUCAAGUUGCUGCCCAUCCUCUGCUCAUCUCUAUCUGUGUGGCCCUAUUAAAAUUCUCUGACUAGAAGUUCCCAUUGUGGCUUAGCCAGUUAAGAACCAGACAGAGUGUCUGCGAGGAUGCAGGUUCAAUCCCUGGCCUUGUUCAGUGUGUUAAGGAUCCAGAGUUGUUGUGAGGUGUGGUGUAGGCCACAGAUGCAGCUCGGAUCCCGCAUUGCUGUGGCUGUGAUGUCAGCUGGCAGCUGUAGCUCCAGUUUGAUCCCAGCCUGGAACUUCCAUAUGCUACAGGUAGAGUCAUAAAAAGAGAAGGAAAAAAGGGAAAAAAUUCCCCGCCUUUUGCCCAUUACCCAAUUUGUGUAUGAACAAGGAUACUGCCUCUCAUCUCAGGAUUCCCAGACCUCAUAGGACCCAGCAUUUAGCAAGCCCAGUAAAUGUGUAUUAUAGAAUGAUGUAUGCCACAAACGUCACAGUACAAAAUUCAUUCAAAUUGUCUUAGACAACAAGAUACAGGACAGAAUAGGAGAGAAAAAAAGGAAAUAGAAAUUAUUGAGAGGCUACUAUUUACUGGGCACUCUAUAUGCCUGAUUUUAUGUAUGAGUUAUAAUCCUCUAAGAUAACAUCAUGCUUAUUUUCCAUAGAAGGGAGUUGCAGCUCAGUGAGUUGGAUAUCACAGCAAAGGAUACACAGCUUCUAUCAGCUCAAACCCAAACACCACACUUCUCCCCGUAAUGAGGCUUUUGUCCUCCAGCAGCUAAUAGUUCCUGCACCUCUGACAUCGCAGAAUCAAUGACCAAAAACUCAGGGUGUGUCUAGUCCAUGGGCCAGAUCACCAGCUUAAAAACAGAGGUUCAAAGAGAGGUAUGUGGCCAAAGCUACUGAAACAGUUAGUUUUUUGUUUGUUUUUUUUUUUUAAAAAAAAAAAAGGAUGAAAAGUCUGUUAGUAAAGCUAGUAUGUUUCACAAUCACAAAUCGCUCUAUUUAUACACUAUUGUGAUUAAAUUUACAAGUAUAUUUUAUAGUUCAUAAAAGCUUCUAAAUAAUUCCACAUUGUUUGAUCUAAUGUACCGUUAUAAAAAUGACAAAUAUUUCCCAUUCACACAGACUUAAAUCUUUUAUAACUAUAAAAAGUUGGGUUCUUUUUUUUUUUUUUUUUCACAAAGUACCCGAAACCUCACUCUUAGAAAAUAGGCCAAGACUAUGAACUAAAACCCCGUCAGAGAAAGCACAACUCAGAGAAAAGCCUCCUCAAACGAUCAUUAAAGUAAUA
rnacentral:lncRNA from 1 species